rnacentral:lncRNA from 1 species
GAAAGGAUGCCGGCUCUUAUGAAUGAGAGGCCGUGAGGACAGAUGCCAGGCAGAGCCGGAGUCAAAAAGGCUCCCAAAGGUUCCAAUCCCAGCUUCCCCCAUGACUAGCUUCAAGACUCAGGACUAGAUCCUCGUUUGCUCUGAGCCUCGGGCUACUCACUAAGACUUACAGACUCUGCUAAUGGGGCUCUGAUUUGUCGUGUAAGUGCUGGGUGUCUGGGAUUCACAGCCAGGGAAAUGACAGCGCCCUGAUGUGUUGACACGUCAAUCAACAGGUAGACAAUUAAGAUCUAAUAAGCCCACUAUUAAGUGCCAGACUCUGGGCUAAGCCCUGUUACAGAAACAUGAAAGUCAGCCUGGCUUCAUGUCAAGUGUGCUGAGCGAGGACUGGCUUGUUUUGAUCUCUCUGCUGUUUCCAGUGCUUAGUCCAUUACUGAGGUCAGCGAGGUACUAGAGAUGAUUUCCUGGCAAACUUCUACAACAAAUCCUUUGUGGCAUCAGCUGAGUGGUUCAGUGGAUGGAGAGCCAAGCCUGAAGAUAGGAGGUCCUGGGUUCAAAUCUGACCUCAGAUACUUCUGAGCUGUGUGACCCUGGGCAAGUCACUUCACCCCAUUUGCCUAACCCUUAUUGCUCUUUUCCCUUGGAACCAAUACACAGUACUGAUUCUAAGGCAGAAGAGCUGGUUGCAUGCUGCCUUUCCAUUGGACGGUGCCCUCCUCUGGAACAGAGACUGUCUUUGGCUUUCCUUUGUACCCCCAGUCUUUAGCUUGGUGCCAUCUAGUAGGUGCUUAUUGACACACUCGCUGACUGCUUAAGAAGUGUCGCUGUGGCCUGAAUUGAAUGGAUGUUGGACUUGGAAGUUUGGGUGAUUCUUUCUUUUAAGACCCCCUGCAAGAUUUUGUAAUUGAAAAAUCCAGUCAGCUCUGCUCCUCCCUCUGGCCUUGGUGGCAGCCAUCCUGUUUCUCUCUAGUUUUCCUUCUCCCAGUUGCAAGUGGGGGAGAAUUGUUGUGAGCAAAGCAAAGACCCAAGACAACUCCAAGGGCCGUGUGAUGAGGAAGGCUGCCCACUGCCCUGGGAGGAACGGAGGGAGUCCCAAGGCAAAAGGAAACAGACCAUCCUUUGCUUCAUUGCUUCCCUGAGGUUUUUUCUAAAACAAGUGCAAUUUGUCUUCUGCCAUAUAAUAAACAUGGGAAGAAUGUAUCUUAU